UGGGGAAUAUUGGACAAUGGGCGCAAGCCUGAUCCAGCCAUGCCGCGUGAGUGAUGAAGGCCCUAGGGUUGUAAAGCUCUUUCACCGGUGAAGAUAAUGACGGUAACCGGAGAAGAAGCCCCGGCUAACUUCGUGCCAGCAGCCGCGGUAAUACGAAGGGGGCUAGCGUUGUUCGGAUUUACUGGGCGUAAAGCGCACGUAGGCGGACUAUUAAGUCAGGGGUGAAAUCCCGGGGCUCAACCCCGGAACUGCCUUUGAUACUGGUAGUCUUGAGUUCGAGAGAGGGGAGUGGAAUAACGAGUGUAGAGGUGAAAUUCGUAGAUAUUCGGAGGAACACCAGUGGCGAAGGCGGCUCACUGGCUCGAUACUGACGCUGAGGUGCGAAAGCGUGGGGAGCAAAAAGG
rnacentral:rRNA from 1 species